GACGAACGCUGGCGGCGUGCUUAACACAUGCAAGUCGAACGGAAAGGCCCUGCUUUUGUGGGGUGCUCGAGUGGCGAACGGGUGAGUAACACGUGAGUAACCUGCCCUUGACUUUGGGAUAACUUCAGGAAACUGGGGCUAAUACCGGAUAGGAGCUCUUGCUGCAUGGUGGGGGUUGGAAGGUUUCGUUGGUUGGGGUUGUACUCGCGGCUUAUCAGCUUGUUGGUGGGGUAGUGUCUUACCAAGGCUUUGCCGGGUAGCCGACCUGCGCGGGUGACCGGCUCCGUUGGAAUGGAAAUACGACCCGGACUCCUCCGGGACGGAGCACUGGAGUAUAGUGUAUAAUGGGCGGAGGCAAGGCGCAGCCACGCAGCGUGGGGUAUGACGGCAUUCGGGUAGUAUUCUGCUGUCGUCUGUGACGAAGUGUGAGUGACAGUAAUGGGUAAAGAAGCACCGGCUAACUCCGUG
rnacentral:rRNA from 1 species